CGGGUCAUGCCGGGGACUCUAGCGGAACUGCCAGCGUAAGCUGCGAGGAAGGUGGGGAUGACGUCAAAUCAGCACGGCCCUUACGUCCAGGGCUACACACGUGUUACAAUGGCCAGUACAGAGGGCAGCCACCCGCGACGGGGCGCUAAUCCUAAAAGCUGGUCCCAGUUCGGAUCGGAGUCUGCAACCCGACUCCGUGAAGCUGGAUUCGCUAGUAAUCGCGCAUCAGCCACGGCGCGGUGAAUACGUUCCCGGGCCUU
rnacentral:rRNA from 1 species